rnacentral:snoRNA from 1 species
CAGUCUCUUGCCUCGCUCGGUCUGCCGCUAUCAUCGGCUAAUCUUGAGCUGGAUGCAUCCCGGUUACUUAUAGUGACCGGCUUGUACGAGACAAGAAGAAGCGUGCAAACGCGUCGACGCUUUUUGAGUACGAUUUGAUUCGCAUUGCACAACGGAUCUGUGUCGUAAUUUAUCAGUCGGGACAUCU